rnacentral:lncRNA from 1 species
AGGGCGAAUUAAGAGCUUCAGAAAAUGGGGCCUUUGGGAUGUGAGUUUUGGCAGAAGGUGGACUAGCUGAAGAAGAAGAAGGUUUUAGAUUUUCAUUUGACACAUGUCUAUCCUCUUCUUCACCUUCCUUAUUGUUAUCUUCCCCAAUCUUAUUGUUUACUACACGUCCACUCCUUAGGGUAGUCAAAGCAUUGGCUUGUUCAUGAUGGAUUGCAUUUAGUUGUUUUUCUUG